rnacentral:rRNA from 1 species
UUGACCUCGGAUCAGGUAGGGAUACCCGCUGAACUUAAGCAUAUCAAUAAGCGGAGGAAAAGAAACCAACAGGGAUUGCUCUAGUAACGGCGAGUGAAGCAGCAAUAGCUCAAAUUUGAAAUCUGGCGUCUUCGACGUCCGAGUUGUAAUUUGUAGAGGAUGCUUCUGAGUAACCACCGACCUAAGUUCCUUGGAACAGGACGUCAUAGAGGGUGAGAAUCCCGUAUGCGGUCGGAAAGGUGCUCUAUACGUAGCUCCUUCGACGAGUCGAGUUGUUUGGGAAUGCAGCUCUAAAUGGGAGGUAAAUUUCUUCUAAAGCUAAAUAUUGGCCAGAGACCGAUAGCGCACAAGUAGAGUGAUCGAAAGAUGAAAAGCACUUUGGAAAGAGAGUUAAAAAGCACGUGAAAUUGUUAAAAGGGAAGGGAUUGCAACCAGACUUGCUCGCGGUGUUCCGCCGGUCUUCUGACCGGUCUACUCGCCGCGUUGCAGGCCAGCAUCGUCUGGUGCCGCUGGAUAAGACUUGAGGAAUGUAGCUCCCUCGGGAGUGUUAUAGCCUCUUGUGAUGCAGCGAGCGCCGGGCGAGGUCCGCGCUUCGGCUAG